AACUUUCAACAACGGAUCUCUUGGUUCUGGCAUC
rnacentral:rRNA from 1 species